GACGAACGCUGGCGGCGUGCUUAACACAUGCAAGUCGAACGGAAAGGCCCUGCUUUUGUGGGGUGCUCGAGUGGCGAACGGGUGAGUAACACGUGAGUAACCUGCCCUUGACUUUGGGAUAACUUCAGGAAACUGGGGCUAAUACCGGAUAUGAGCUCCUGCUGCAUGGUGGGGGUUGGAAAGUUUCGGCGGUUGGGGCUGGACUCGCGGCUUAUCAGCUUGUUGGUGGGGUAGUGGCUUACCAAGGCUUUGACGGGUAGCCGGCCUGCGAGGGUGACCGGCCACAUUGGGACUGAGAUACGGCCCAGACUCCUACGGGAGGCAGCAGUGGGGAAUAUUGCACAAUGGGCGGAAGCCUGAUGCAGCAACGCCGCGUGCGGGAUGACGGCCUUCGGGUUGUAAACCGCUUUCGCCUGUGACGAAGCGUGAGUGACGGUAAUGGGUAAAGAAGCACCGGCUAACUACGUG
rnacentral:rRNA from 1 species